rnacentral:misc_RNA from 1 species
AUCAACUCGUUUGAGUGAAGAUGGAUCUAUUGCUGUAGCCAGCAAUAAAAGACAUGAAAGAGUACACGUUAAUUACACUGUACAACUAACAUUCU